AGAGAGCCCGGAGAUGUGGCCGCUAUGAAGAGGGCGGUACCCAAGUGGAAGCACGUCAUGCAACAAAUAUGAAAUGGCAAAGAUGCACGAAGUAGCCCUGCCUUGCAGCUCAUUGGGGGGUGGCAUGAAAUCAGCUGGAUGGUUCAAGAAAUGGUCUAGAGAUCCAGGGUACCCCACAGCAGCCAUUGGGGUGAAUAGGUCUACUUCUUCAAACCAUGACCCUCUCUUCUAGUUCCUGCCCUGGGCCGUGAGCCA